CGAACAGGUAACGGCGGCGCUGGAGCAGCCGAGCCGGGGGCCCCAAUCCCGCCCCCUCCGCGAAGCGAUGCGGGGUGGGGGCCAGACCCCGAGCCCACCCCCAUGGAAGUCAGUGAGGGCAGCUCAGAGCCAGGUUUUUCAACGGCGUCGUUGAUUGUGGGGCCGGGAGGACGCUGUAUACGUGGGUGUGGAGUAGAGGGGAAGGCUUGAUCCGUCAGCCCUUAUUUAUGUGAACGAUUAUACUAUGGCUCUAUGGGACUUCAAUAGGACAAAUCAUACCAGCAGCAACUGCAGAAUUAGGCUUUGUAUUUGGAGAUGCAUUAAGAUUAUCAACAGAGGAACAAUGGAAGUACCAUUUCUCUCCCUCUCUGAUGUGCAUAAGGGACAAGUUGAUUAUUAUGACAUUUCCUCUUCUCCCCUUGCCUCCAUUAGCCAUCGCAUAGACUUCAGCAUCAGAAGAUGCAUGCACAGCACCAUGGCCACGAAUCCAUGCAUGUGGAGAUGGUUCUUAUUGUCAUUGCAACCUUGGUAGUGGCACAGAUUGUACUGGUUCAAUAGCAGCAAAGGCACUGCAGGUCAUACAAUUCACCAUCCACACCUAACUGAAGGGAUGAUGUAGAGAAGGAUCCAAAGAGAGUCUGAAGCUUUGAUUGAGCAAGGUGCUUCUGCACAUGACUAACUCUGAAGGAAGUAUCAGAGGGGUAGCCGUGUUAGUCUGGAUCUGUAAAAGCAGCAAAGAGUCCUGUGGCACCUUAUAGACUAACAGACGUUUUGGAGCAUGAGCUUUCGUGGGUGAAUACCCACUUCGUCAGAUGCACUUCUGAAGGAAGGAUGGUCCAGUGAUUAGGGCACUAGCCUGGGACUCAGGAUACCUGGGCUCCACCACAGAUUGCUGUGUGUUCUUGGGCAAUUCGCUUAGGUCCAGAUCCCCAAUCAGUGGAAGUUAGGAGCCUAAAUAUCUUUGAGGAUCUGGACCUCAGGCUCUCUAUGCUUCAGUUCCCCAACUGUGAAAAUAGACACAAUACCCUACCUCCUGAGGGUAUGUGAGUGUAACUGCAUUAAAUAUUGUGAAUUGCUCACAUACUAUGGAAAUGGGGGCCCUAUAAGUAGGGUGACCAGAUAGCAAGUAUGAAAAAUCAGGACAGGGGUUAGGGGGGUAAUAGGAGCCUAUAUAUAAAAAAGUACCAGAUAUUGGGACUGUCCCUAUAAAAUCGAGAUAUCUGGUCACCCUAUCUAUAAGUACCUGAGACAGAACUUUAAGCAUGUGCGCAAGUCCACUGAAGUCAAUAAGUCUCUUGUAAGUAGCUCUUUCCCACUGGGAAUUUGUCCUUGGAAAUGAAUGAUCCAGGCCAAAGCCCUUGUUAGUUUGUAUACUGAUAUCAUGAGUUUUGGUGCCAAGAAGUUAGUGCACAUUGACAUCAGUAAUCACUUCCUCAAUCUUCCUUGACCGCUUUCCAACAACUUACCCGUCUUGGAGAGAUUUUAAAUUUGGUAUGUUGAAAAUCCCCUAGUUUUCCCUCUCUUCUUGUAUUGGUUGAGGGAGGAUAGAGUCACAGUUUAAUAUGAUUUACAGUCGUGUUUUGACAGAAAAAUAUAGAAAGAGGCUGAUUCACCACUGCCUUACUUCAACCUCAUGCUGGAGUUAUUUUGUUGAUUUCAGUGGAAUUACAAUGGCAAAAACUGGAAUAGUAAAGUGGUGAUUAGUCCCUAAAAGUACACCUUACAAAAAUAAGGAACUGUAAUAAAAAAAUUUUAAUAAUGGAAGGAGCUGUCAAAAUGAAAAGCCUUUAAUGGGAUUGCAAAGAUUGAGUGAUGAAUUUGGCUCCAUGUCCACAACUCUGAGCAUUCAUACCAAUAUUGUCUGUUGAAAUCAGUUUCUCAGAGGUAGAGAAACUGCUGUCCCACCACCAGUACAAACACAGAGCUGAGCACUAAAUAUAUAUAGAGUUGUUGAGCUUUUAUAAUGGCCCCUCUUGGAAUGAGCAAAUCUCCGAUAGUGCUAAGAAACAUACAUUUUGCAUUAUCCUUUCAUUACUCUCCCUUACAAUACUCUAAAGCUAGUCAUUGGUGAUGGAUCACUCUGUCAGUGACCAAAACUUCCAGUAGUAUACUAGCUCUUGUCCUAUGCCAUGUGUUGCUUACUAGGAUCUACUUUUUGAAACUUUAGCCUCAACCAGUAGUUAAUCACAUUUAAAACUCUAUCUGGUUGGUAGGUGAUUAUUUUAGUGGCCCUAAUACUCAUUCAUAUGAUCUAUCUUAUAUUCACCUUAUAGAGAACCCACUUCAGCUACAAGCAUUAAAUCAGGUUUUAGUGAGGGGGGUGUUUUUUUAAAUGUACAACAACAGAGGAGGGCAAACUAAGGCCCAUGGGCUGGAUCCACACCAUCAGGGCUUUGGAUCUGGCCCACAGGAUUGCCAGCGCCGUGGCGGAGCGGGAAUGAGGCAGGCUUCCUGCCUGCCCUGGCCCCAUGCCACUCCCGGAAGCAGCUGGCACCACAUCCCUGUGGCCCCUGGGGAAAGUGGGGGGCAUAGGGCUCCACGCUCUGCCCUUGCUUGCAGGCACUGCCCCCGCAGCUCCUAUUGGCUGGAAAUCGGGAACCGUGGCCAAUGGGAGCUUCAGAGGAGGUAGAAUCAUAGAAUAUGAUAGGUACCCACAAGUGAGCGCUGUGCAUGGAGCCCUCUGUCCCCCUCCCCUCCCCUCCCCUCCCCUCGAGGCUGCAGGGACGUGGUGCCGGCCGCUUCUGGAAGCAGCACAGGGCUAGGGCAGGCAAGGAACCUGCCUUAGCCCCACUGCGCACCAGUGUCACUCCGGAGCCGCUCAAGGUAAGUGGUGUUGGGCUGGAGACUGCACCCUGAACCCCUCCAGCAUCCCACACCCCAACCCCCUGCACCUCUCCUGCACCCUCAACCCCCUGCCCUGAGUCCUCCAGCACUGCCACACCCCUCCUUCACCCCAAUCCCCUGCCACACCCCUCCUACACCCCAACCCUUUGCCCUGAGCCCCUUCCUGCACACAGCACCCCACACUCCCUCCCCCACCUCAACCCCAACCCUAUUUAAGUGAUGAAUCAUAGUCCUGUGGCAAUGACCAGAUCUUCAAAUCCAGUAAUAACGGAAAUGCAGUGAAAAGAAGCAGAAUCUCCGUCUAUAUAAACCGUCAUACCAGAAGUUGAAGCUAAUUUUGGACUUGGUUGUGGCAGUUCUACUUUAUGCUCUGCUUAGCUGAGAAAAUAAUUUAGUUUCACAGCCGUGCUCAUCUAUUUUUACAAGGCUGUUAAUGUUAAUUGUACUGUCUCAAACAGCAGAUAGUGCAGAGCAUUAAUUCCACAUUAGAUAACUUCAGAGAAUUUUUCAUUAAUAUAUCUUGUAGCUUGUGAAAAAGAAUAGCUCUACACCAUAUGGCAAGUCCGGGCACAUUUAAAUUGGCCUCCUCAGUGGCACAGUUGCCAACUUUCAUAUGAUAAAUAAACACCCUGACUUUCACGAAAAACCAAAAAUCAAACUAAUCCCAUUUCAAAACAAGCCAAGCCCUAAGAACCCCAACCCUCUAUGUGACUUGAUCCCCCCAGCAUGCAGUCUGAGACUAUGGUGGACCCGCUGUGCACCUCUGACUCUCUCCCCCUUUGCCCCUGCUUGCUGGGAGCCAAUUUUAAAAAAAGCAGCAUCAAACUACAAGAA